AAACUGCCCUCAGGGCAAAGAAGCCUGCAGAAUAAUUGGGAGGAGUCUGGCAGGAAGGAAGCCAAGAGCUGCCUCCUGCCCCUGAGGGGAGGAGUCCAUCCUCUUCUAUAGGAUACACCUGUUGGCUUGUUUGUCCUUCCUUCCCCUUUCUGGGAAUUGUUCUCCAUCAACAUGUUUAUGGGGACAGCCAUUUCUAUACAAUGUGACCUGUAUUGAUCUAUUUUGUGUUGCUAUAAAUAAAUACCUGAGGCUGGUAAUUUUUAAAGAAGAGAGGUUAAUUUGGCCCAUAAUUCUGCAGGCUGUACAAGAAGCAUGGCACCAGCAUCUGCUUCUGGUGAGGCCGCAGGAAGCUUCCACUCAUGGUGGAAGGUGGAGGAGGAGCAGGCGUGUUAUAUGGCAAGAGCGAGAGCAAGAGAGAGAGCAGAAGGUGUCAGGCAACCAGCUCUCAUGUGAACUAAUGAGCAAGGACUCACUCAUCACCAAGGGGAUGGCCCCAGCCAUUCCUGAGAGAUCCGCCCCCUAACCCAAACACCUCCCACCAAGCCCCACCUCCAAGACUGGCGGUCAAAUUUUAACAUGAGACCUUCAUUAUCAAUGUUUGUGUAUCUACACAUCCAAAGUAGAUCAUCAUCUUUGGUCUUUGGGAGAUACACCAGAGAAAAACAACUCCUCUGGCCUGGGAGAUUUUGACUUUCUGCUUUUCAUGUGUGUUUGCUUUUAUCGAAGAGGGAAUCUGCUACUUGCCUGAUGCAACUGCAUUUGGAUACUGAACUGGGGCCCAAAGAGUCUCAAAUCACUGCCUGGGAAUGCCAAUUUCUCAUCAUGAAUUAGAAAUCAAUUCUAGCAGCCUCCCUGCUAAGUAAAAAAAUUACAUAAUUCUUUCUGCACUACUGCAUUAGGCUGAUUUUUUUUUUCCUUUUCCUGAAUGUACAGUAAAUCUCUAGUGGUUUAAGCCAUGGUGCCUCUGCUUAAACACAAUAUGAAAUCGCUACCAAAUUUAAAUAAAAAAUAAAUUCUG
rnacentral:lncRNA from 1 species